rnacentral:rRNA from 1 species
UACGUAGGGUGCGAGCGUUAAUCGGAAUUACUGGGCGUAAAGGGUGCGUAGGUGGUUUCUUAAGUCAGAGGUGAAAGGCUACGGCUCAACCGUAGUAAGCUCUUGAAACUGUAAGACUUGAGUGCAGGAGAGGAGAGUGGAAUUCCUAGUGUAGCGGUGAAAUGCGUAGAUAUUAGGAGGAACACCAGUUGCGAAGGCGGCUCUCUGGACUGUAACUGACGCUGAGGCACGAAAGCGUGGGGAGCAAACAGGAUUAGAUACCCGGGUAGUCCCUGA